rnacentral:rRNA from 1 species
UUUACUUUGAAAAAAUUGGAGUGCUCAAAUCAGGCCCAAUGCCUGAACAGAUGUGCAUGGAAUAAUGGAAAAGGACUUCGGUUCUAUUUUGUUGGUUUUCGGAACAUGAAGUAAUGAUUAAGAGGGACAGACGGGGGCAUUCGUAUUGCGGUGGGAGAGGUGAAAUUCUUGGAUCAUCGCAAGACGCCCUACAGCGAAAGCAUUUGCCAAGAAUGUUUCCAUUAAUCAAGAACGAAAGUCAGAGGUUCGAAGACGAUCAGAUACCGUCCUAGUUCUGACCAUAAACGAUGCCAACUGGCAAUCCGUUGCGAUUGCAAGUUCGAUCCAACGGGCAGCCUCCGGGAAACCAAAGUCUUUGGGUUCCGGGGGAAGUAUGGUUGCAAAGCUGAAACUUAAAGGAAUUGACGGAAAGGCACCACAAGGAGUGGAGCCUGCGCUUAAUUUGACUCAACACGGGAAAACUCACCCGGCCCGGACACUGUGAGGAUUGACAGAUUGAAAGCUCUUUCUUGAUUCGGUGGGUGGUGGUGCAUGGCCGUUCUUAGUUGGUGGAGCGAUUUGUCUGGUUAAUUCCGAUAACGAACGAGACUCUAGCCUACUAAAUAGUACACUCAUCCUUGUUGUGUGAGUGCCGACUUCUUAGGGGGACAAGUGGCAUUCAAGCCAUACGAAAUUGAGCAAUAACAGGUCUGUGAUGCCCUUAGAUGUCCGGGGGCGCACGCGCGCUACACUGAUAGCGUAACGAGUUACUCUCCUGAUCCGCAAGGGUCGGGCAACCUGUUGAAACCUAUUCGUGACAGGGAUCGGGGCUUGUAAUUAUUCCCCGUGAACGAGGAAUUCCUAGUAAGCCA